ACACUGACGUCGCGACGCAUAUCAAUAAGCGGAGGAAAAGAAACUAACAAGGAUUCCCUUAGUAACGGCGAGUGAAGCGGGAAGAGCUCAAAUUUGAAAUCUUCAAGGUUCUACCUUGACGAAUUGUAGUUUAAAGAAGUGUUUUCUGUUAGAUGAGUAGCAAAAGUUCCUUGGAAUGGGACAUCAUAGAGGGUGAGAAUCCCGUAUUUGGUUAUUCAUUCUAGCUUUGUGAUACACUUUCAAAGAGUCGGAUUGUUUGGGAAUGCAGUCCAAAAUGGGUGGUAAAUUUCAUCUAAAGCUAAAUAUUGGCGAGAGACCGAUAGCGAACAAGUACCGUGAGGGAAAGAUGAAAAGAACUUUGAAAAGAGAGUUAAACAGUACGUGAAAUUGUCAAAAGGGAAGCGUUUGACACCAGUGUUGUUUUUCCGAAAAUCAAUUACGAAUGGUUUGAUUUCUGAUGAUUGUAUGACCUUCGUCAGCUUCCUUCAUCUCUUUCCGAGUCUUUUGUAAUGCACUUUUCGGUUAACAAGUCAACAUCAAUUUCUUUUGUUGUAAAAGAGUAUUCGGAAGGUGGCUUUCUUUUCGGAGAAAGUGUUUAUAGCCCUAUACUUCUACAAUCGGAGAGAUUGAGGUCUGCAGCGUAGAUCCUUCGGGGUUAGAUACACUUGUGCUAAGUUAUAGCUUUUCAUAGACAACUUGUUGACUAUGUUUAGUCUUGUAGCUUACUCGCUUGUGCUAUUUUACCUACGCUUAGGAUGUUGAGUCGUAGAGCACGCAG
rnacentral:rRNA from 1 species